rnacentral:rRNA from 1 species
UACAGAGGUCUCAAGCGUUGUUCGGAUUCAUUGGGCGUAAAGCGCGCGUAGGCGGACCUGCAAGUCGGGGGUGAAAGCCCGAGGCUCAACCUCGGAACUGCCUUCGAUACUGCGGGUCUCGAGUCCGGGAGAGGUGAGUGGAAUUCCUAGUGUAGAGGUGAAAUUCGUAGAUAUUCGCAAGAACACCAGUGGCGAAGGCGGCUCACUGGCCCGGUACUGACGCUGAGGUGCGAAAGCGUGGGGAGCAAACAGG